GACUUCUGGUGUAAUGUGCCUGGCCCGGCUCUUUAGGCCUGUGAGUGCCGGUGCGCGUUUACCAUCCUUCUGGGGAACGGGUCUACCCUUUACUGGCCGGAUUCGGGAUCCAGAUCAUUUACUUUGUUUAAAGCAAGCAAUUGCCAUGAAUACAUUAGCAUGGAAUAAUAAUCUAGGACUUCGGUUCUAUUUUGUUGGUUUCUAUAACUGAAGUAAUGAUUGAUAGGGAUAGUUGGGGGUGCUAGUAUUGGCCGGUCAGAGGUGAAAUUCUUGGAUUCGGUCAAGACUAACUUAUGCGAAAGCAUU
rnacentral:rRNA from 1 species